CGGCAGCUGAUGCAGCGACGCCGCGUGAGUGAUGACGGCCUUCGGGUUGUAAACCUCUUUCAGCAGGGACGAAGCGCAAGUGACGGUACCUGCAGAAGAAGCACCGGCUAACUACGUGCCAGCAGCCGCGGUAAUACGUAGGGUGCAAGCGUUGUUCGGAAUUACUGGGCGUAAAGAGUUCGUAGGCGGUUUGUUAAGUCGUUUGUGAAAUCCCGCGGCUCAACCUGGGAAUUGCAGUUGAUACUGGCAGACUUGAGUACGGCAGAGGAGAGUGGAAUUCCUGGUGUAGCGGUGAAAUGCGCAGAUAUCAGGAGGAACACCGGUGGCGAAGGCAGUGUCUCUGGGCAGUAACUGACGCUGAGCACGAAUGAUG
rnacentral:rRNA from 1 species